rnacentral:rRNA from 1 species
UUCCGUAGGUGAACCUGCGGAAGGAUCAUUACUGAUUUGCUUAAUUGCACCACAUGUGUUUUUCUUUGAAACAAACUUGCUUUGGCGGUGGGCCCAGCCUGCCGCCAGAGGUCUAAACUUACAACCAAUUUUUUAUCAACUUGUCACACCAGAUUAUUACUAAUAGUCAAAACUUUCAACAACGGAUCUCUUGGUUCUCGCAUCGAUGAAGAACGCAGCGAAAUGCGAUACGUAAUAUGAAUUGCAGAUAUUCGUGAAUCAUCGAAUCUUUGAACGCACAUUGCGCCCUCUGGUAUUCCGGAGGGCAUGCCUGUUUGAGCGUCGUUUCUCCCUCAAACCGCUGGGUUUGGUGUUGAGCAAUACGACUUGGGUUUGCUUGAAAGACGGUAGUGGUAAGGCGGGAUCGCUUUGACAAUGGCUUAGGUCUAACCAAAAACAUUGCUUGCGGCGGUAACGUCUACUACGUAUAUCUUCAAACUUUGACCUCAAAUCAGGUAGGACUACCCGCUGAACUUAAGCAU